rnacentral:tRNA from 1 species
GGCCCGUUCAUCUAGGGGUUAGGAUGCGGGAUUCUCAGUCCCGUUACAGGGGUUCGAAUCCCCUACGGGCUACCA